rnacentral:rRNA from 1 species
AUUGAACGCUGGCGGCAUGCUUUACACAUGCAAGUCGAACGGCAGCGCGGGCUUCGGCCUGGCGGCGAGUGGCGCACGGGAGUGUAAUGCAUCGGAACGUGCCCAGUAGUGGGGGAUAGCCCGGCGAAAGCCGGAUUAAUACCGCAUACGACCUGAGGGUGAAAGCGGGGGACCGAAAGGCCUCGCGCUAUGAGAGCGGCCGAUGUCGGAUUAGCUAGUUGGUGGGGUAAAGGCUUACCAAGGCCACGAUCCGUAGCUGGUCUGAGAGGACGACCAGCCACACUGGGACUGAGACACGGCCCAGACUCCUACGGGAGGCAGCAGUGGGGAAUUUUGGACAAUGGGGGCAACCCUGAUCCAGCCAUGCCGCGUGCGGGAAGAAGGCCUUCGGGUUGUAAACCGCUUUUGUUCGGGAAGAAAUGCUCUGGGCUAAUACCCCGGGGGGAUGACGGUACCGGAAGAAUAAGCACCGGCUAACUACGUG